CCUACGGGAGACAGCAGUCGAGAAUCUUUCACAAUGGGGGAAACCCUGAUGGUGCGACGCCGCGUGGGGGAAUGAAGUUCUUCGGAUUGUAAACCUCUUUUAUGUGGGAGCAAAUUAAAAAGAUAGUACCCCAAUAGGAAUAGACGGCUAACUCUGUUCCAGCAGCCGCGGUAAUACAGAGGUCUCAAUCGUUGUUCGGAAUCACUGGGCGUAAAGUGUUCGUAGGCUGGUUUGUAAGUCGUGUGUGAAAGGCGCGGGCUCAACCCGCGGACCGCAGAUGAUACUGGGAGACUAGAGUAAUGGAGAGGGAGGCGGAAUGCGCGGUGUAGCAGUGAAAUGCGUAGAUAUCGAGCGGAACGCUGGUGGCGAAGGCAGGUUCCCGG
rnacentral:rRNA from 1 species